rnacentral:rRNA from 1 species
AGCGAACGCUGGCGGCAGGCUUAACACAUGCAAGUCGAGCGGGCAUCCUUGUGGUGUCAGCGGCAGACGGGUGAGUAACGCGUGGGAACGUGCCCUUCGGUUCGGAAUAACUCAGGGAAACUUGAGCUAAUACCGGAUACGCCCUUUUGGGGAAAGGUUUACUGCCGAAGGAUCGGCCCGCGUCUGAUUAGCUAGUUGGUGAGGUUAUGGCUCACCAAGGCGACGAUCAGUAGCUGGUCUGAGAGGAUGAUCAGCCACACUGGGACUGAGACACGGCCCAGACUCCUACGGGAGGCAGCAGUGGGGAAUAUUGGACAAUGGGGGCAACCCUGAUCCAGCCAUGCCGCGUGAGUGAUGACGGCCUUAGGGUUGUAAAGCUCUUUUCUCCGGGACGAUAAUGACGGUACCGGAGGAAUAAGCCCCGGCUAACUUCGU